AAGACCCUCCCCCCGCGUCUUCAGAGGAGCGCUGUUUCUGGAGGAGUUAGGGGAAGGAGGCUGCCUGGUAAGCCAGGAAAGGGGCUUCUGGCCGUUCUGUUGGAGCGCCUCUGACUGACUUCCCCCAUGUGUCCGUGUGGCCACACCGUGCUACUUUCAGAGGCAGUGGGCUUUUCGCUAAGGGAUAAAAAGAAGUAAAACCUUGCCUUUAGCGCAGCUCUCCUUCACUGGGCAGAUUGCUCUCCCUCCCCACUCUCCCAGGCCCAAAUUGGAUCUCAGCGCCUGGGAGCUCCAACUUUAGCAAGUGCGAAAUCCUGUCUUCGGUUUUGGAAUUUUCAUCCGCACAGACUAUAUCAGCCACGGAUAGGAUAUGUGAGAAUACCAGCAUGUCAAGGCUGGGAAUCAUCCUUAGGCAUCACCUAGCCAGUCCUGCCUCUCAUUUUAAGAUGAUAGCCAAUGACUCUACUUCCUCCAUCACUGAUUGGCUCAUUCCAUUGUACUUCCAUGCUGUCCCUGGAGGACAGUGUGACAACUGGAGUGCCAGGAGGACCAGGAACUUUGAAUGGAUAUUGGGCUACAGUAGGCUCUGAAUUGAGAGAAUAGACGCCUUGAUGGCUCCUCUGGCAGUUCUUGAUGACCAUGGAUGAGCUAAUGGCUGUGGUCUCAAUGGUGGCUUCUUGAGGAACUACUUACAGAUUGGAUCAUGUGCUGUUUUGGGAUCUGAAGGUGGACUGAACUUUCCAGGUCCAGCUGCAUUUUCAGCACAUACUCUGAAGACAUAGCUGAUUGAGAAACUUACCAAACUGAUAUUUGGCUGUUAUUGGAGAGGCCUGAACUGGUUCACCAACACCAUACAUGUUUUCUGCAGCAACUCUGAAGAUGUACUCUUUAUUGGGGAUUAAUUUGGUGGCCUUGAAGUUUGUAUCCUUGACGGUGGAUGAGAGCUUGUGCCACACUUCACUAUCAGUUGCUCGUCUCUCCACAACAUAGUUUGUGAUCUUAGAUCCACCAUCAUCGCGUGGUGGGUUCCAUGUUAGAAGACAUGACUCAUUGGUUACAUCUGUGAUGUCAAAGGCAGCUGGUGGUCCGGGUUUAUCUGUGUAUGGCAUUACAGAUGCAGAAAAAAAAAUUGUUCACCAUUUUUUUUAUUUUUUUCUUUCAAGAAAGUAACUGCAAAGAGUUUAUCCCCUUUUAAAAUGAGAACCUUCCUUACCUAAGACGUUCACUUCCACCACAGCAGUGGCCCGGCCACACACAUUCACAGCCUCAAUGAUAUAUGUGCCAGUGUCACUUCUCUUACUAUCAACAAUAGUCACUGUGGAUUUCUUAGGGACAUUUUCAAUGGUAAUUCUUUUGUCCUGCUUCAGAAUCAUAUCAGCCUUUGUCCAAGUUAUUUUAGGUUCAGGUUUUCCGGUUACGGUGGCAGGAAGUUCAAUCUUGGUCCCAGCUUUUACAGUGAGACCAGCAAGGAGCUUCACAUCGAGGAAGAUUUCUGGGGCCUCUGAAUUGGAAAAGAUUAUUUAUGAUGUUAUCAAGUUCAAGCAGAUUUAAGGUUCUCCACAGGCAACCCAUUUAUCAGAACCACGUGGACAUCUUUCAACUAUCCUGGACAACAACCAUGUUAUUUCUUAGCCAUUGGACUUCCACCUUAUCUUUAUUGAGUUCUGCUAAAAAGACAACAUCAGCACCAGGGGCUUCAAGAAUAUCUUGUGGAGGCCUGAUGAUCUCAACAGGAAUUUCUGGAAAGAAAAUGUGAAAUAAAUACAAAUAUGUUUACAUUUUGAUUAACAAUUUUAAAAAAUUGGUAACAUUAGAAUUGUUUUUUCACUUAAUAUGUACCUUCCACAAAAAGUCUAGCACGAGACUUCCUGUCUUCUACCCCGCAAGCAUAUUCACACUCAUCAUCCAGCCUGCAAUCUUUUAUAAUGAGUCUGUGUAUACUUCCAUCUUUUUCAAAUUUGUAUCUAAAGGAGACAUUGGAUUAUCAGUUAGCUUGCAAUGAUGGCCACUAAAUUGUCAAAAGUGUAUAUAUAGCUACAGAAAUAGAGAAUAAAAAGAUCUUGCUUACU
rnacentral:lncRNA from 1 species